AUGGCAUAUACUGGCCUCACCGUGCCUCUCAUCGUGAUGAGCGUGUUCUGGGGCUUUGUCGGCUUCCUGAUGCCCUGGUUCAUCCCAAAGGGUCCCAACCGGGGAGUUAGCAUCACCAUGUUGGUGACCUGUUCCGUUUGCUGCUAUCUCUUUUGGCUGAUUGCAAUUCUGGCCCAACUCAACCGUCUCUUUGGACCACAGUUGAAAAAUGAAACCAUCUGGUACCUCAAGCAUCAUUGGCCUUGAGGAAGAAGACCUGCUCGCC